rnacentral:rRNA from 1 species
GACGAACGCUGGCGGCGUGCUUAACACAUGCAAGUCGAACGGAAAGGCCCUGCUUUUGUGGGGUGCUCGAGUGGCGAACGGGUGAGUAACACGUGAGUAACCUGCCCUUGACUUUGGGAUAACUUCAGGAAACUGGGGCUAAUACCGGAUAGGAGCUCCUGCUGCAUGGUGGGGGUUGGAAAGUUUCGGCGGUUGGGGAUGGACUCGCGGCUUAUCAGCUUGUUGGUGGGGUAGUGGCUUACCAAGGCUUUGACGGGUAGCCGGCCUGAGAGGGUGACCGGCCACAUUGGGACUGAGAUACGGCCCAGACUCCUACGGGAGGCAGCAGUGGGGAAUAUUGCACAAUGGGCGGAAGCCUGAUGCAGCAACGCCGCGUGCGGGAUGACGGCCUUCGGGUUGUAACCCGCUUUCGCCUGUGACGAAGCGUGAGUGACGGUAAUGGGUAAAGAAGCACCAGCUAACUACGU